ACACACACACACACACACACACACACACACCUCUUUCCAGCACACAGUGCUCCGACCAAGACUCAGGUCUCCAGUUUAAAGCCACAACCUGCUUGGUAAUUCUUUAGGGUCUAAGAUGUUUGGGGGGAGGGAGGGGUGCUGAGAUGUGGAAUUGUUUGAGAUGGUCAUACCAUGGGAUCAUUUAGCUGAAUUGUAGGACCCCUUUAGGUACAGAGUCUCCCCUUUCCAUUUCAGUAGGUCAAACUGUUCGGAGAACAGAGUCUCCCCUUUCCAUUUCAGUAGGUCAAACUGUUCGGAGAACAGAGUCUCCCCUUUCCAUUUCAGUAGGUCAAACUGUUCGGAGAACAGAGUCUCCCCUUUCCAUUUCAGUAGGUCAAACUGUUCGGAGAACACAGAGUCUCCCCUUUCCAUUUCAGUAGGUCAAACUGUUCGGAGAACAGAGUCUCCCCUUUCCAUUUCAGUAGGUCAAACUGUUCGGAGAACAGAGUCUCCCCUUUCCAUUUCAGUAGGUCAAACUGUUCGGAGAACAGAGUCUCCCCUUUCCAUUUCAGUAGGUCAAACUGUUCGGAGAACACAGAGUCUCCCCUUUCCAUUUCAGUAGGUCAAACUGUUCGGAGAACAGAGAGUCUCCCCUUUCCAUUUCAGUAGGUCAAACUGUUCGGAGAACACAGAGUCUCCCCUUUCCAUUUCAGUAGGUCAAACUGUUCGGAGAACAGAGAGUCUCCCCUUUCCAUUUCAGUAGGUCAAACUGUUCGGAGAACACAGAGUCUCCCCUUUCCAUUUCAGUAGG